rnacentral:pre_miRNA from 1 species
AAUAAGUGCAGUUUUGCACUAUUCACGUUCAACGUUUGACCGUCCGUCUUAUUUAAAAAUUUUUUAUGAUUANAAAUUUUUCAAAUAAGACGGACGGUCAAACGUUGAACGUGAAUAGUGCAAAACUGCACUUAUU